rnacentral:rRNA from 1 species
GAUGAACGCUGGCGGCGUGCCUAAUACAUGCAAGUAGAGCGAAGAGACGAGGAGCUUGCUCCUCUGACGUGAGCGGCGGACGGGUGAGUAACACGUGGAUAACCUACCUAGAAGAGGGGGAUAACUUCGGGAAACCGGAGCUAAUACCGGAUAAUAGAAUGAACCGCAUGGUUCAAAAGUAAAAGACGGAAUUGCUGUAACAUAUAGAGGGAUCCGCGCCGAAUUAGCUAGUUGGGAAGUUAACGGCUUACCAAGGCAACGAUGCGUAGCCGCCCUGAGAGGGUGAUCGCCCACACUGGAACUGAGACACGGUCCAGACUCCUCCGGGAGCCACCAUUAGGGAAUUUUCCGCAAUGACCGAAAGCCUGCCGGACCAACCCCGCGUGAGUGAUGAAGGUCUUCGGAUCGUAAAACUUUUUUAUUAGGGAAGACCAAAUUUGUAAGUAACUAUGCACGUCUUGACGGUACCUAAUCAGAAAGCCACGGCUAACUACGUG